UCUGAACCAAGGGUUUACACCUCCCUUACUUUCUCUCUCUAGGAAGUGUUCUCUCUCUAAGUGGAAUCAAGGGUUUUGGUCCAGGUUCCUCUCCUCUUUUGAUGCUGAUUGCUUUGGGAGGUCAAUGAGCUAUUACAGAAGGUGGAGAAGGUGUCUUGGGUGGAUUUCGCAACUCCUUGGCAGCAAGUAGCUGAAGGAAAGGAGUGGGGGAGAGAUUUUGGCAGCUCGGGAAGGGGGUUGUGGCUGUGGAGCUUCAAUACGAAGCUAGGGGAAGGUACUACGAAAGCUGUGAGAAGCUAGAAUCUUCACUUUAAACGGAGUAUUACAAGUAUUACAAUCUUAUGAGUUGAUUUUGAAUGUAAUUUAACCAGAGGGAUGUGAGAAUUCAGGUUGGGAAUCUAUGCAAGCUGAAUUCCAGCAUAUUCUACGAAAUCGCAUAGGUGUACUAACACUGUUUGAGUAGUGUUCCCAGCAGGUUUGCCAAAGGCUAUCGGAUUGUUCUUGGUUGAUAUUUAGAAACUUUUGGAGGUUAAGGUGAGUACCUGAACCUGAACCAAAGCAAGGGUUCAAACUACAGCCAUGUGCAAGGUACGAAGAUCACUUUGGGCUGAACAUUGAGCCCUUUUUGGGCUGAAUUAAACUGAGUUUGGGAGUACUUCAACCUGAAUUAAGCAGAGGUUUAGUUUCAGUCUAAGCCUAGGGGAAUUGAAGGCUUCAGAUUUCCUGCAAAAGUAAGUUCGACAAGGAUCAUCAAGUAGUAGGUGGGUCUGACCUUACCAGAACAAGUGAAACCCCUAUGUUCUAUAUGAUACUAUAGAAUUACUUGGAUGUGUAACUUUAUGAAUAAGUACUCAAUAUCGGGUAUUGAAUGCUAUAAACACAUUGGUUUAUUGAGUGAAAUGGAACUUUUAUAAUGUGUAUAGAAGCAUGAGUAAUAGUAAUGAUGCUUAGUCUAAAUAUCUGGACCUUACAUGACAUAGGUACAUAUGCAUUACUUCCUUAAUUUGUUGAAUCCAGUGGAUAUUAGC